GAUGAACGCUGGCGGCGUGCCUAAUACAUGCAAGUCGAGCGAACAGACGAGGAGCUUGCUCCUCUGACGUUAGCGGCGGACGGGUGAGUAACACGUGGAUAACCUACCUAUAAGACUGGGAUAACUUCGGGAAACCGGAGCUAAUACCGGAUAACAUGUUGAACCGCAUGGUUCAACAGUGAAAGACGGUUUUGCUGUCACUUAUAGAUGGAUCCGCGCCGCAUUAGCUAGUUGGUAAGGUAACGGCUUACCAAGGCAACGAUGCGUAGCCGACCUGAGAGGGUGAUCGGCCACACUGGAACUGAGACACGGUCCAGACUCCUACGGGAGGCAGCAGUAGGGAAUCUUCCGCAAUGGGCGAAAGCCUGACGGAGCAACGCCGCGUGAGUGAAGAAGGUCUUCGGAUCGUAAAACUCUGUUAUUAGGGAAGAACAAAUGUGUAAGUAAAUAUGCACGUCUUGACGGUACCUAAUCAGAAAGCCACGGCUAACUACGUG
rnacentral:rRNA from 1 species